AUUGAACGCUGGCGUCAUGCUUUACACAUGCAAGUCGAACGGUAACAGGGUGCUUGCACCGCUGACGAGUGGCGAACGGGUGAGUAAUGCGUCGGAACGUGCCGAGUAGUGGGGGAUAACGCAGCGAAAGUUGUGCUAAUACCGCAUACGUACUGAGGUAGAAAGUGGGGGACCUUCGGGCCUCACGCUAUUCGAGCGGCCGACGUCUGAUUAGCUAGUAGGUGAGGUAAAGGCUCACCUAGGCGACGAUCAGUAGCGGGUCUGCGAGGAUGAUCGACCACACUGGGACUGAGAAAAGGCCCAGACUCCUACGGGAGGCAGCAGUGGGGAAUUUUGGACAAUGGGCGAAAGCCUGAUCCAGCCAUGCCGCGUGUCUGAAGAAGGCCUUCGGGUUGUAAAGGACUUUUGUCGUGGGGGAAAUCCCCAGCGUUAAUACCGCUGGGGGAUGACAGUACCUGAAGAAUAAGCACCGGCUAACUACGUGCCAGCAGCCGCGGUAA
rnacentral:rRNA from 1 species